AAAAUGUAGAAAACAUCUGAAAAUAUUUAAAUAAAUGGUAUUCUAUUAUUAUUUAACAGUGUGAUUAAUCAUAAUUAAUUUUUAAUUGCACGAUUAAUCACAAUUAAUUGUUUUAAUUGCCUGACAGCCCUAGUGAUAACAUAGGGUCCCUCCCAACAGGGAGAGAAGGCAUAUUCCCUUUUCCCUAGAUGUUUUACCAUUACUUGACUCCCUCUGUCAAGCUCUAUUCCUUUGUUAUGGAGAAAUCUUCUUUACUAUUUUCAUCUGUUUUCUCCUUGCUGCUGAGCUGCUCUUUUGUUCACUCCAGCAAGUCUAGUUUUCAGUUGCUCUAGAAAUCUAUCAGUAGACACUACUGCUUGCCCCUCUGUUGAAACAGGAGCAUACCAGAUCUCUGGUAAAUGCAUCGGUCUACCUUUCAUUAAUUCUAAUGGGCUAAAUCUGGUAGAGGCACUAGUAGCUGCUCGAAGAGCCAUCAGAAUUUGUGGUAAGUGAAUGUCCCAAAUUUCUUUCCACUUUCAGUCACAAUCUUUCUAAGUGCCUCUUUAAUUGUGCGGUUUGACUGCUCCACGUUCCCACUGGCCUGAGGAUGGUAAGGGAAAUGCUUGAGUCCACAGAGCUUGCAUAGUAAAUGGGAUCCCUGGUCAGAUUCAAGAACAAUGGGAAUUCCCCACCUGGGCACCACAGGUUCAGUGAGACACUGAGUAGUAUUUAAAGCAGUGUUAAUUUUUACAAGGAAAGCUACAAUCACAAAAAUUAGCCACUAUUACCAAGAGGUAUUUAUUUCCUCUACGUGUGGUAUAAUCAACUUGAACCAUGGGAUUUUUAAGGAAAACUUUCCUCUCCCCUGAUCUGCAUUAACCGCAACACACUGUCAGCGACUUCUGAUGUUGGUCCAUAUCAGAUUAUACAGAGGGCCACCAAGCUGUUUGCAACAGACUGUUGAACAAGCAAUGCCCUGAUGACCCCCCUGGAUCAUGUGCAAGAUAAAUGAUCGCAUUUCUUAAAUGUUUAGGCACUACCCACACCCAUUGGCCUUGGGGCUUUGCAAUGAGUAGCCCCCGCCCCUUCAGGUAAUAUUCUAGAGAGAAACUCCUCUCUCACUAGCCUUUUUAAAGAGACAUUUCAGAGUUAGACCUUUGCCCUGCUUUGCAGCGGGACUGUCUGUAUUUUCUGGUUCUUUUGUUUGAAUCCUUGUUACAACACUUUGUUUUGGAGGUUGCCCGCAGGGUCCAUUUAAUGCUCCCAGUUUAGCUUCAUAGUCAGCCCAAAUAUUCCAUUCUGCCAUGGGUCCUGUCUUUUGAUGAGCUUUGACUUUGCCAAUUAAUUCUUCUUUUCAAAAGGGUAAUUAUAUACAGGUAUCAUUUGGCAUAUGCUACAGGUUACCAUCUGAGCAACACACAGCGUUUUCUUUCCAUUCUGGAAGCCAGUCCACUAGAGCCAGUCAGACCCAUUGAGAAUCGGAAGACUCGGAUAGAUCUUUUCCUAAAGAAAUAUUUUCCAAGACACAGCACGCUGCAGCCAAGUCAGCAUACUGAGCCGAAUGUGUAUUACAUUUCCUUGCAGUCAGUGUCUGAUUGACAGGAUCUACAAGUGCAAAACCAGUGUAGCCUUUUCCAGCUAUGUGGGACAACCAGACCUGAAUAGAUUUUUGUUCAGAAAAGGAGUCUCAGAAAGGUACCUCUUUCGAGUGGUCAGCUGAGGAAGUGGGUGCUCAUGGGGAUUCCCACCUACCAAUAAUAAUAAAGCAGUUUUAGAUGGUCCAGUUACAGCCUCUACCUGCAAAUUUUGAUCCGUUAAAGCUAAAGUCCAGCAAGCCAGCUGAGAAUUUGAUACCUACCCAUCUUAAAUUUUCCCAGAGAAAAGAUAUUUUACAGGGGUGCAGGGAUCCCUAAGGACUACAGUAUUUAAUCCUGUAAGAGACUCAAAAUGCUGAAUGGCCCAAUACACUACUAGAACUUAUUUUACGCAUGCAGAAAUUUUUUUCUCCACUUGGCUAAAAAGCUGAGAAGCAUAGGCAGUUAGUCUCUAAGGUGCCACAAGUCCUCCUGUUCUUUUUGCGGCUACAGACUAACACGGCUGCUACUCUGAAACCUGUCAUAGGCAAUAGGUUAUCCUUGCCCAACUGAUGUUGCAUUAACACAGCAGAAAGAGCAGUCAAUGAAGCUCCUGUUCUAAAAUAAAAGGUGUUUGUGGGUUAGGAUGUGUCAGUGCAGUAAUCUGGACAAUUUUUUAUUUUAAGACCUGUACUGCUUGACCAUGUUCAGACUUCCAUUCCCAAAUUUCUCCCUUCUUGAGAAUUUUAUACAGGGGUUUAGCAAUUUCAGCAAAUCCUGGAAUACAUUCCCUAUUGAAUCCUGCUAAUCCCAGGAAGGUUCUCAGUUCAUGUUCAAAUGUUGGUAUAGGGAGGUCUAAGAUAGUUUGGACUCGCUCCCGGAAGGGCUGUCUGUCAUCAGGGCCAAUUUCAGUUCCCAGGAAGGAUACUUUAUUCCUGGCGAUCUGAGGCUUUUUCACAUUUAAUUUUAAUCUUGCCUCACUCAGUAAUUUAAACAACCAAGUUAGUACUUCUUUAUGUUCUUCCUCAGUGUCUGUGGCAACUAAUAUGUCAUUAACAUACAACAAUACUUGAUUAGUUUCCAAAAGAGGAGCCAGAACUUUGGUCAUGGCUGCAGAAGAUAAUGUGGGAGAGUUUUUAAAUUCCUGAGGAAGUCAGGUCCAUGUAAAUUGUUGAUUUUUAUUUAUGAAGGCAAAUUUGUAUUGGUUUUGUUUGUUUUUGUGAUGACAAGGACAGACCAGAUGUUGUUAGUUCGAUCGAAAACCACUUCUUUCCAUCAGUUACUUGUUCUAAUAGGUCCUGAUAGGAUGCCACCAUUGGGAAAACUGUAGUAGUAUGUUGAUUGAGUGCUUGAUAGUAGUCUCCAGGAACCAUCUAUUUUACAGACCAGCCAAAUAGGAGAAUUGCUUUUGCUAGUUGUGACAACUAGUAUCCCCUGGUCCACUGAAGACUUUUCCCUUUAUAAUCCAUAACAUUUGUUUCCCAUAAUCAGUGAUAGCAGGGGUUUCCUGGAGAACAUCACUCCCAAGAAUCCCUACAUCAUCUUCCAAUUUUGUUUCCCAAAUUUUGCUUCGGUCUGCACCCCGGAUAUUAUUACUGGAAUUUCACCUGUAAAAGGUACUGAAUGGGUUUGACUGGUGUAUCUAGCCAAUUCAUGUCUCUCCUGGAUUUUAAGGACCCCACCUGCACUUGGUUCUACAGGUAGGAUACUGUUGGAUGCCUCAGUAUCUACUAAUAUUUUAUAUUGCCUAUCCUCUAUCAUGAUUUUAACACUGGGGCACCCCCAGGGAUCUCCGGAUAAGGGAACCUCCCUAGGUUGCUGGGACAGGCUGUCCUAUUGUAGAAAGGGAGCACUAGGCUCCAGUCUUGGGCACCAGCCAAGGUUCUAACUGUGUUUACAGGCACAGAUUUAACAAAAGGCUUUCUAGAUGUUAUGUGGUCUUGUUUAGAAAAUCUCAGUAUUAGCUUCCAGUAUGGAAUUCCUUCCUUUACCUCUCCAUAUUUUUGUAAUGGUCCCUCAACUCAGAAUAAGAUCCCUUUUGAUCUUUUCCUUUUCCCCCUUUUAUCUCUCUACUGUGACCUCUUUCCUCUCCUUCCUUUUUUCCUUGAAUGGUCACAACAGAUCCUGUUUUUCCUUUUAUUUUUAAGUCCUGCCUAGUGGAGCUAUCCUGCCAUGCUCCAUAUGCAUGGAUUUCACCAUGAGUAUUUUUUGAAUUGACCACAACGGCAAUCCUAUUCGUAAGACCAGGAUGGACCUCUGCUGUUAACAUUUAUUUGUUGACCAAAUUAUCUUGAUUUGCACCCAGGAAGAUUAAAUCAUGGACUUCCCAAAAGCCGGAGGGCAUCUCAUUUUAUAUUCAUGGCACUAGGGUUCAAACUAUUUUCCCCUAAGAGUAUGGCAUCUAGUUUCUUUUGAGCUUCUCUUAGUUGCAGUUCCUCGUCUAUAUGCUUUUCUAGAAUCUCAGGGGGAAUAGCUGAUUUGAGAUUAGGUGGCAGUGAAGCGGCAGCCACUAAACAACAAUCUUGAUUUGUCCAUCCAUUUACUUUCGUUUCCAUUUCCCAAUUUGGAAGCCAGCUCUAGAUGGUUUCUGCUGUUCAAGGUCCCAUGGACUGAGCAACAGCUUGAAUUUGUUGGGGAGAAAGUGCAGUGGUUGUGGUCUCAUUUACCACUUCUUUGCGGCCGCCAUUUUGAUCGCCCCACUUGGUGGGUUUCCGUCUGACACAAUGGCUUCUAGUGACUGGGCCAUAGGAUUUGGGUGACAGUCUCCCUGAUCUGGGUCAUCAUGCCAUAAAUCACACUCAUAAUCCUAUUAUGGGGUAUAUAAAUCACCCUUCUCCUCCUCUGAGAAGGAGAUUGAGAACUCGGUUGCACGGGAAUCUGUAAUGGUGGCCAUCUUACCCCACCUCACUUGUGAUUGGGCUUGUAAUUUAGCAAUGACUCAAUUGCAGUGAUCAUGGGAGGCUGCUCUUUUCCAUCCCUGAUUCUCCUGCAUUAGCGCUCAAAGGGCAGAUUGAGCAUCUUCCAAUUCUUUCUCUAAUUCUCCUGCUUUUUGCCCAGGUUAUUGACAUUUCUCAGACAAUACCUCCUUUUCAUUAGUGACCAUUCCCAGUGUCACUAAAGAGCUCAAGAUGGAGGCUUGAGCAGCCUGCAGGUUGCUCUCAAGGAGCUGACGAGCAUGCAGUUCUCCCGCUAGUUGCACUUGUAAGUCCUUCAAGGCUGCAUGGACCUGACACAGGGCUAGUCUACACUGGAAGCGGGGAGUCCAAAGGUGCUCUACACCGACAGGAAUGAUUUUUCCCGUCAGCAUAAUAACUCCAUCUCAAUGAGAGGCAAUAGCUAUGUCGGCAAGAGAAGCUCUCCCGCCAGCCUACACUGUCACUUAGGUUGGUGUAACUUACAUCGCUCCAGGGGUGGAUUAUUCACACCCCUGAGCAAUGUAAGUUGUAUCAAAGUAAGUGGUAGUGCAGACAAUGUCUCAGCCUUUCAUGGGUUUCAAAGCCAGCCUGCCAGCAUCCUGGAAUUAGGGCCUUUUUCCUGAUAACCCUUUUAGGCUUAAUAGUCAUGAACUUUCCAAAGUACUCUUGGAGCGAAGCCCAAGGGGCUUGUUGAGAGUCCACCAUGAAGGCAUCUCAGGACUACUAAGGUCCCCCAUGGGAGGAGAUAUAACUGUGUACCUCGUUCUUCACCACCCUCUUUUUGUAGAGGCUUUAGCCCACCACUAUCUGUCCUCAAGAGACUAACAGCAUUCCCCACCUGGAGUGUAUGGUUGCAAUCCCUGACCCCAAGUAUUGUAAUUUUACAAAACUGGUAAAAAUCCUCACGGGGGACACCAAGUGUUAUGAACUACCCUUCCCCCCUGAGCAGUCCUGUCACGUUUGAGAGAGACCAGCUGGUUUAAACAAGUUAUUGAAAACUACAAUAGGAUCUAAAUAUAUGAUCCUACAUACAACUACAGCAAGUAAGUAAACUCUCACUUCCUGCUGGGUGGUCUGGCAAGGCGUGCCAGCUGCAGUCAGAUGAAUCUGUUUCUCUGCCUAGAGUCUGUCCCUACUGCACCACUCACCACCCAGAGACACACUUAACGCGCUCAUAUAAACUCCUGAGCCAAAAAGGGUUGAGAAGCACUGCUCUAGGCUAUGCGUGCGCUCUGUGACAGCACAUAGCAGCAUGUCCAGACAUGCCUCAACCAUGGCUCUCGCUACUGCUAGAAAACAUGAAAUACCUACUGAAAAGAUAAACGUUAAAAACAGGACAGAGUAGUAGUGCCUUAUCCCUGGGGGACAUAGGGGCCUCUUAGGGUGUGGCCUGUAUGGGGGCUCUCCAAUCCCUUAACAGAGACACUUAGGGCAUCAGCUUGGUUUAUGUAGUUUCUUUCUGAGGCGCGUGACUAGAAUUCAAGAUGCCUGGCCCAAACAGCCUGUCCAGUAUCACCCAGAGUCAGUAGCCUUCUGAAGCAGGGGGAUCAGAGAGUAAAGUUGGAGGUAGCAGAGGUCAUGCAGGGGUCAAUGAGGAAAUAGUUGGAGGCAGCAGGGAUCAUGGAGGGGUCAUUGAGGGUGAGUCUGGAGGUAGUGGGGUCAGAGUGAAUAAGGCUGGAGGUAGAUGGGGGUCACUCAAGGUCACAGAGAGGAAGCUUGGAGGUACUGGAGGUCAUACAAGGGUCAAAUAGGAAAAAUUUGGAGGUGAUGGGUCACGGAGGACAAAUUUACUGGUAGGUGUGGUCACAAAGGGGUCAGUGAGGGUGGGGAUGAAAGCAGUGAGGUCACAUGGGGAUAAGGAGAGAAAAACAAGAGGUAGUGGAGUUUAUGCAGGGGUAAUUGACCCCAUUCAAGACCCAAACUAUCUGUAAAUUUAUCCUUUGUGACCAUCUGACCCCAACUGACUCCAGAUUUUUCCUCCUUGACACCAGCAUGACCCCCUGUACAGUCUGCCUUACACUCUGACCCCACAGCCUCCAGCCUCACCCUCACCUCCAUAAUCCCAGCUACCUCCAAAAUUUUCCUCAUUGACGCCUGCAUGACCCCCACCACCUAGAGCUUGUCUCUCUGUGACACACCGACUUCAAGAGUAGCCUGGUUUAGAUCACAGCUGAGAAUGCCACAUUCAGGACAGACUAGGAACCAGGUCAGACCCCACCCCCCCAAAUUGGUGGUUUAUUCUAUUGCUAGAGGUCACCAAAUGAGUAACAAAAGUGAGCUCCUGUAUCACUUCUAUGAGUUAAAAAGGAGCCAAAACAGUCCUCUAGAGGCAAUCCAGUCCCUCUCACCACUCAGACAAUGGAUUUUUGUGAUGUAGGGUUAUUAAAACCAAAGCCAGCACAUUUAGUUUUUUCCAGUUCCAAAGAACCAGCCACACACCCCAGGUCAAGAUAUAGCUCAUGUCUUACCCAAAGACCACACUUGUAGCCAAUCCUCUGGUAACUAAAAACUAAAAGAAGAGUCAUUAAGAAGUUAAAAUAUACAUUAUAAUUGAUUUCUGAGUUUGUAGAUUAGGAUAAUACCAGUGCUGUUAAACCUCCUAGUUUGCAAUAAGUCUCUCUGGAUCACCCAAAAAGAUUUGGGGUCAUCAGUCCUUUAUUCAAAGCUUCCUUUUGUUAGAAAUUGUAGCCCAGAGAUGUGAAGCAGGAAUGAAAGCAAAGAAUGAUGUCACAGUCUGCAAUGUAUGCCUCUUAGUCCAGGUGCAUGGAAAGUUACAUACACAAACCUGGAGGUCUGGGUCACAUGUCCUUGCUGAAUCAUGAGGCAUUCGUUGGCUGCAUGCUCCUGAAGACACCUCAGAAGGGAACCCUGGAAGAACUGAUUUGUCUGUAAUAGGCCAUCAAGCAGGUUGGCUAGCCUAGGUGUAAAUCUCUUUUAUCCAGAAACAACAGGUUUGAGAUACAAGCACAUAGCAAAGUUUCAUAACUUCAUAUACAACGAUGGUACAUCAAGCUAAACAUGAUAAUCAUACUUAGUAGAUUAUAACUUUUCCAAUGAUACCAAACACAGUAUACUUUGUACAAGAUUUAUCACAAUUGGGCAUCAAUGAGAAUACAUUAGUGUAAACUUGGUCUCCUUUCUUUCAUACAGUGUCAGACUAUGACACAGAAUGCCUCCAAAUGUUUCCUCGUUUAUCCUCCAUGACCCCCAUUUCCUCCACCCUAUCUCUGUGUGACUCCAUUAUCGCUAUACUCACCAUGAGUAACCUCACUGUGACCCCCGUUGCCUCCAAGUUUUUCUUCAUUGACUAUAUAACUUCCACUUUCUCUAGCAUCGCUCUCCUUGUCCCAUGUGACCUCAGUGCCUUCAGACCUGCAGUCAUUCACACCUUUCAAAUUUGAAAGCAGUUGGGGGUCAGCUGGGGUCACUGAGAAUGAAUUUACAGGCAAUUUGGGUCAUGCAGAGUUCAGAGAGGGUGAGGAUCAAGCCAGGGAGGUCAGCUGAGGACACAGACAGUAGGACAUUCUGCAGUGGAGGUCACAGAGAGGUCAAUGUGGAAAAAUUUGAAAGCAGUGGGGGUCAGCUUGGGUCACUAGGAUGAAUUUACAGGCAAUUGGGGCCAUGCAGAGUUCAGAGAGGGUGAGCAUGAAGCCAGGGAGGUCAUCCGAGGACACAGAUACUAUUGCUGAAUUAUUGAGGGUGACAGGGAGGUCAACAUAGAAAAAUUUCAAUUCAGUUGGGGUCAGCUGGGGUCACUGAUGAUGAAUUUACGGGCAAUUGGGGUCAUACAGAGUUCAGUCAGUCUGAGGGUCAAGCCAGGGAGGUCAUCUGAGGACACAGCCCCUAAGGCUGAAUUAUUGAGGGUCACAAAGAGGUCAAUGUGGAAAAAUUUGAAAGCAGUUGGGUCAGGUGGGGUCACUGAGAAUGAAUUUACAGGCAAUUGGGGUUAUGCAAUGUUCAGAGAGGGUGAGAAUCAAGCCAGGGAGGUCAUCCGAGGACAUGGAUAGUAGGACUAUAUGCAGUGGGGGGGUCACAGAGAGAUCAAUGUGGAAAAAUUUGAAAGCAGUUGGGGUCAGCUGGGGUCACUGAGGAUGAAUUUACAGGCAAUUGGGGUUAAGCAGUGUUCAGAGAGGGUGAGGAUGAAGCCAGGGAGGUCAUCCGAGGACACAGACCCUAGGGCUGAAUUAUUGAGGGUCACAGAGAGGUCAAUGU